UUAUAUAUAUAUAUAUAUAUAUAUAUAUAUAUAUGUAUAAAUAAAAUUAAUUUUAAAUUUAAUUUACUAAUAUUCAAAAAUUAAAUUUAAUUUAAAUAUUUAAUCCUUUCGUACUAAAAUAUUUUAUAUUUUAAAAGAUAGAAACCAACCUGGCUUACACCGGUCUGAACUCAGAUCAUGUAAGAUUUUAAUGAUUGAACAGAUCAAAAAUUUUAAACUUCUGCAUUUAAAUUUUAUCUUAAUCCAACAUCGAGGUCGCAAACUCUUUUUCUUAUACGAACUAAAAAAAAAAAUUACGCUGUUAUCCCUAAGGUAAUUUUUUCUUAUAAUCAAUAAAAUUGGAUCAUUUAACCACUUAUUUAUGUUAAAAUAAAAAAAAAAGUUUAUUUAAUUUUUCUAUCACCCCAAUAAAAUUUAAAAAUAAAUUUAAAUUAUUAAAUUAAUAUAAAACCUUAAUUUAAAUUUAAAUAAAACUCUAUAGGGUCUUCUCGUCUUUUUAAAUUAUUUUAACUUUUUAAUUAAAAAAUUAAAUUCUACAAUUUAAUUUUAAGACAGUUUAUAUUUCAUCCAAUCUUUCAUACAAGUCAUCAAUUAAAUGACUAAUGAUUAUGCUACCUUUGUACAGUCAAAAUACUGCAGCCCUUCAAUAUUAAAUCAGUGGGCAAAUUAAACUUUUAAUUAUUAACAAAAAGACAUGUUUUUGAUAAACAAGUGAAUAUACAUAUUUGCCGAAUUCCUUAAAAAUAAUUUUAAUUUAAAUAACUAAAUCUAAAUUAUAAAUAUACUAAUUUUAUCAUUAUUACUAAAUUUUAUUAAUUAAAAAAUUUUUUUUUAUAAAAUUAUAAAUAAAUAAAUUAAAUUUUAUCUUAAUUAAAAUUAUUUAUAAUAAAUUAAAAAUUUUUAACAAUUUAAAUUAUACAUUUCUUAAUUAAAAUUAAUUAAUAUUAUAUAAAUUUAAUUUAAAGCUUAUCCCUUAAAUUAUUAAAUUUAUUAUUAAAUUUAAUAAUUACAAUUAUUAAAUUUACAUUAAAUAAAAUAAAUUUAAAAUUAAAUUUUUUUCUAAAAAAACUAGAUAUAUUUAAAAACGAUUAACAUAUCAUUUCAAAUUAAUUAUUAAAAAUAUUUCUACUACAAUAACUUUAAUAAUUAAUUAUCUCUUUUAAAUUCGAGAAUUUUUUAAUUAAAAAAUUAAAUUAAUAAACUCUGAUACACAAGAUACGAUAAAUUAAAACUACUUUUUAUUAAAUUUUUUAUUUAAAUAUAUUUCAAAAUUCUCCCACAAUACUAAUUAACUAUAAAUUUUUAAAUUUUUUCUAUUUAAUUACUUUAACCCCCAUUAAAAUAAUUACAAUAUAAAAUAAACUUUAAAAAUUUUUUUAUUAACCUCAAAUAAUUCUUAUUAAUUUUAACCCC
rnacentral:rRNA from 1 species